AUGCAUCCCAAAGCUCAAGAGGAUCUUGGUGACAUAUUUUCCCAAAGACUUCAGAAUCAUCAGUUCAAGAAAAGAUUAACCAACUUGAUUAUAAAAAUACUUGCUGAGACAGAUGUGCAUGUGUUCCUGAAACAACUUGUACUCAUCUCAUGGGACCCAAGGUGGGAAAAAAUGAAAGUGUUCUCCAAAUAUUAGAUAUGUAUCUCUGAUUUCUGAUCACUGCUUCUGCCAAUGGAAGUGUGAGGAACUGAUGUUCAUUCUGGCCAAUUUUCCUGUUAUUGUUGCAGCUCCUACAAUUUCUUUUUUUUAAUUUGCAUUUUAUUUAUUUAUAUGCAGAAAUGGGAGAGAGAGAGACAAUCUGUUGGUUCAUUCACCAAAUGACAACAAAAACCAGAAUACAACCAAGCUGAAGCCAAGUCAGGAGCUCCAUUGGGUCUCCCAUGUGGGUGGCAGGAAAUGAAAGCAGUUGGGCCGUUAUAUGCUACUUCCUAGAAUGUGCAUUUACAGGAAGCUGCAACAGAAGAGGAGGUGGGAAUUCAUCUCCAGAAUCUGAUACAGAUGUUGUCAGCCCCAGCAGUGGCUUAAACCACCGUGCCACCACAGCAUCUCCUCCUUAAGAUAUGUCUUGUAUCACAGUGUCCUUCUAGGCCCUUUUCUAUGAGAUUGGUAGCUCAGUGAAAGCUAGGUUAUUUUUCUUAUUUGACCACUUUGUCCUCUCUUAGUCUACAGAAAUUGUGUCACCCCUCACCAACCACUCUGGCCUUCAGGUCUUGCAAAACUCUUUAAAAAAUGAAGUCUUUUUUUAUUGAACAGAGUUUUAAGACAUCAACCCUAUAUAAACUUAGACUAAAGUAAUGUGCAAUACAUUUAUUGAGGGGAUACAAAGGCUAAAAGAUGAAGGAUAAAAUGUCUACAUGUGUUUAGAACUGAAAAAGACCAAACUCUAAUUCAUUUAUGCAGUUUAAAGUUUUAUAAAUUUCAGUCUAAAAGUACAUUUGUUUGGCAGAACAGAAUUUUAUAACAAUGACUCUGAGAAGAUUUGACUUCUAAAGUGGUUUUUGCCAAUUAGGCAUACAUUGUUGCUAUAUUGCUCCAUCUUUCUGGGACUCAGUUUUGU
rnacentral:lncRNA from 1 species